GACGAACGCUGGCGGCGUGCUUAACACAUGCAAGUCGAACGAUGAAGAAGAGAAACGCGAACUUCGGUUCAAAUUUCACUUCGGAUUAGUGGCAGACGGGUGAGUAACGCGUGAGCAACCAACCUCUUACAAAGGGAUAGCCUCGGGAAACCGUGAUUAAUACCAUAUGACACAUUCAUAAGGCAUCUUAAGAAUGUUAAAGCUACGGCGGUAAGAGAUGGGCUCGCGUCCCAUUAGCUAGUUGGUGAGGUAACGGCCCACCAAGGCGACGAUGGGUAACCGGCCUGAGAGGGUGAACGGUCACAUUGGAACUGAGACACGGUCCAAACUCCUACGGGAGGCAGCAGUGGGGAAUAUUGCACAAUGGAGGGAACUCUGAUGCAGCGACGCCGCGUGAGCGAUGAAGGAAUUCGUUUCGUAAAGCUCUGUUCUAUGGGAAGAAAAGGACUGUACCAUAGGAGAAAGCCCCGGCUAAAUACGUG
rnacentral:rRNA from 1 species